rnacentral:snRNA from 1 species
CACUUCUUGGCCUUUUGGCUAAGAUCAAGAGUA